rnacentral:lncRNA from 1 species
CCUUCUCAACAUUUUAUUUAGAAGACCCUCUUCUGGUACAGAGGAGUCGUUACCACCUGUUGUGCGAGAAAAUAAUAUAUCCCUAACAAGACACCUCAUUUGCCUUUGCGGGAUCCUGCGGGAAUACCUCGAUCACCUGUUACAUGCCAAAACAUGAUAGGGGAGGCAAGAAAAGAAAAGAAUGAAAAAGAGACGAAAACAGAAAAUAAAAAAAAGAAGGAGUAAGGAAAAAAAAGUUGAGAUAAGAGAAAGACGAAAAAAACAUCAAUCAUUUUGCAUUAGCAUACUGCAUACGUCAUGCAUAUCUAACUGCUC